GCUUUCAGAUCCUCCGCGAAUUGUGAAAUGAAGAGAGCUAUCCGUCGACAGUCAAGUUAAGACCGAUUGUAAUACUGUCAUGGAAUUGCUCUCUUUGUAUAACAUUCGAAAGGCGACGAUUAUAAGA
rnacentral:pre_miRNA from 15 species